GAGGUACCUGCUCUCGGCCGGCGGGACGCCCUGGGGCUGCAGGCCUGGGAGCUUCUCCUGACCCCUCCGUAUCUGACAGAGGAGAGCAGGCACUGUUCCUGGGAGGGGGUGGCCAAGAGACGCCGGGGAUGGAAGACAGGCUCCAGGCUCCGGGUGGCUGGGCAGGUUUGUGAGAGUCCCAGAGAGAAGUAAGGAGCCCGGGUGGAGGUGGAUGGGGACCCUAGGCCCAGCCCCAGCCUUGGACAAGGCCUCCUGGAUACACCUGCCUAGUCGCCACCGCUCAGCCUCCGCCUCUGAAGCCGGAGAUAAGACCGCUCAACUUCAAACUGUCAUCAAGGUGCGUCUACACUCCCCGUCCGGCUAGUGCCUAUAUUCCGGGGUCGCCCUUCGAGGCCGAAGCUUCAAGCCCUGCACCAGACCCCUGCUUAGAGACGGGAGUAGAGACCGGAGAGUUGGAGAGGCAGCAAGUGGCCGCUGGAGACACAGAUGGAAAAGCAGAGUGUGAGGAAAGUACCAGGAAGGCUAGGGAGCAAACAGAAGAAUGUGACUGGACAGUGGCUGUGAAGUCGCCCAGCCAGAAACGACCGGGGUAGGGGGAUGGGGGCGGGAGGCUGGUUCCGCAGAGGCUGAGCUGUCCCGAAUUCACAAAUGAAACCUGGAGGCUGAGGACUCCGAUGGGGACGCAGAGAGCAAGUCUGCUUCUAGCUUCCUGACCUUCAGCCCGGGCCCUUCGCUCUCCGCCCCCACCCAUCUCCCCUGCGGCCAUCUCUGCCCCCUCCAGACCCCCGCGUCGUCGCAGGUGCUGGGGCACACGGCCCCCAGCGGGCGGGCGGGCGCGAGCCGAGGCGGCAGACUCACCUGGGCGGUGGCGGCGGCGCGGGGCGGGAGC